rnacentral:rRNA from 1 species
CCUACGGGAGGCAGCAGUGGGGAAUAUUGCACAAUGGGCGGAAGCCUGAUGCAGCAACGCCGCGUGCGGGAUGACGGCCUUCGGGUUGUAAACCGCUUUCGCCUGUGACGAAGCGUGAGUGACGGUAAUGGGUAAAGAAGCACCGGCUAACUACGUGCCAGCAGCCGCGGUGAUACGUAGGGUGCGAGCGUUGUCCGGAUUUAUUGGGCGUAAAGGGCUCGUAGGUGGUUGAUCGCGUCGGAAGUGUAAUCUUGGGGCUUAACCCUGAGCGUGCUUUCGAUACGGGUUGACUUGAGGAAGGUAGGGGAGAAUGGAAUUCCUGGUGGAGCGGUGGAAUGCGCAGAUAUCAGGAGGAACACCAGUGGCGAAGGCGGUUCUCUGGGCCUUUCCUGACGCUGAGGAGCGAAAGCGUGGGGAGCGAACAGGCUUAGAUACCCUGGUAGUCCACGCUGUAAACGGUGGGUACUAGGUGUGGGGUCCAUUCCACGGGUUCCGUGCCGUAGCUAACGCUUUAAGUACCCCGCCUGGGGAGUACGGCCGCAAGGCUAAAACUCAAAGGAAUUGACGGGGCCCCGCACAAGCGGCGGAGCAUGCGGAUUAAUUCGAUGCAACGCGUGGAACCUUACCUGGGUUUGACAUGGAUCGGGAGCGCUCAGAGAUGGGUGUGCCUCUUUUGGGGUCGGUUCACAGGUGGUGCAUGGCUGUCGUCAGCUCGUGUCGUGAGAUGUUGGGUUAAGUCCCGCAACGAGCGCAACCCUUGUUCACUGUUGCCAGCACGUUAUGGUGGGGACUCAGUGGAGACCGCCGGGGUCAACUCGGAGGAAGGUGGGGAUGACGUCAAGUCAUCAUGCCCCUUAUGUCCAGGGCUUCACGCAUGCUACAAUGGCUGGUACAGAGAGUGGCGAGCCUGUGAGGGUGAGCGAAUCUCGGAAAGCCGGUCUCAGUUCGGAUUGGGGUCUGCAACUCGACCUCAUGAAGUCGGAGUCGCUAGUAAUCGCAGAUCAGCAACGCUGCGGU